AUAUUUUAAGGUUUAAUUACCCUCUUAAUAUCUUCAAUAUUAUGCUUUAAAUAUAAGCUAUUAAAAUA
rnacentral:tRNA from 1 species